UUUUCUUCUUUUCUGGGCAAAGUAUCAAAUAGCACAGGCUAGCUAUGUAGCUCAAGAUGACCCUUUUAAUCUUCCUGCCUCCAUUUCCCAAGUGAUGUGACUGUACAGGUAUGAGACACCCAUGCUUUACUAGGAGAUUUUUAAAAAAUAACUGGUUGCAGUUCUGGGGACAGAACUCUGGGCCUCAUGGUGAGGAAGGAGUCUACCAGCUCUGGGCCUCAUGGGACCACUUCCCAAAGACAGCAAGUGCAGCAAAGUGGAGCCCGAGCCACGUUGCUCCCACCAUGCUGGGCAGUUGGGAACUGAGGCAGGACACUCGGGAGACCGUCUGGGUGAUUUCUAGUCCUUCACCUCUCAGCUGAGCAGGCACCAGUGCAUUCCAGAUCCUUCCAGGAAACCUCCGAGUUCCAGGCAGAUGUGGCCGCUGAGACCAGGUACUCAACACGGACACAGCCGCGUUCUAAGAGACGCAUGGCCUAUUCAGCACUUGCUCUGUACUGAGGAAGACUGAGGUAAAGGCGCUUGCUGCUGAGCCUGGCAACCUGGAUUCAAUCCAUGGGACCAACAGCAGGAAGGAACAGACUCCAGAAAGCUGUCCUCUGACCUCCAUAAGCAAGCUAUGUAUACAGGUGCACCCUAUAUAAAUAAACAUACCCUUAAAAAACAAA